UUCAAACCUGGAAUUUUCUUGACGGUUAGCUGCUUGGAGAGUUUGGUUCUGGCAGCAAACUUAUAUGAUAAUUUUUUUUAAUCUAUUCUUAAAUAAGAAGGGCAGCACGCACACCCUUGUAGGGCCAUGCAGAGCUAUGCUAAUCUCUCUCUUGAAGGGAAUUCAAGAACUCCCGCAAAAGCAAGAUCAUUCAUAUACGCUACUCUUGAAAAAAAUAAGCACCGACAUCUCGACAAUCAAAAUCCCACAUCAAUACAUUCAAUCCUCGUCUACUAUCGUUUCAAUCCUUGCCCAAGGCGGCCCCGUUAAGGAGCUCGCACUGUACAAUGCGUCUAAGUUGCUCAGCUCUGCCACCAAACCUAAUGCCUAUUCUCUGCUUCACCUGGUUCGAGCUUCUACGGACCUGGGCUUCGAUUCUUACUGCCGACAGCUUCACACCUACAUUCUGAAAUCUGGGUUUUUCACCAAUGUUUUUGUCUCCACUGCUUUGCUAAGGUUUUAUAGCAUAACGGAGUCCAUAAUUGACGCCGACAAAGCGUUUGAUGAAAUUCCUCAACCAAAUGCAGUUUCUUGGAAUACCUUGAUUUCCGCUUGCGUGCAUUCUGGGCAAUUUGGGAAAGCAAUGUAUUUGUUUCUUCAACUUGAGAGGUCUGGUACAUGUCCAGAUGCCUACUCAUUCACACUGGCUUUAUCUGCUUCUGCCCACCUAAAUAUGUUGCAGCUCGGCAGGUCAAUUCACUGCGAAAUAGUGAAAUAUGGCCUGGAGUGCGCCACUGUUGUUGGGAAUUGCUUGAUUGAUAUGUAUGGCAAAUGUGCUUCUGUUGAGGAAGCAAUUUGGGUUUUUGAUGAAAUGAUUGAUAAAGACAUAAUUUCUUGGAAUUCAGUUAUAGCUGCAAGUGCUAGGAACCAAAGACUUGAAUUGGCAUACAGAUUUUUCUAUCAGAUGCCUGAGCCGGACACCAUUUCAUAUAAUGAAAUGAUUAACGGAAUUGCCCAGUUUGGCAACAUAGAGGAUGCUAUCGGAAUUUUAUUGAAUAUGCCAAAACCGAAUUCAUCUUCUUGGAAUUCGAUCAUAACAUCAUUGGUUAACAAAAAUUGUGUACGAGAAGCCUUGGGGUUUUUCACUAAAAUGCAUUCAAGUGAAAUUAAAAUGGAUGAAUAUACUUAUUCAGUUCUUUUGAGAGGUGUCGCUGGUCUUGCCGCUUUGAAAUGGGGAAUGGUGAUCCAUUGUCGUGCAACAAAGGGAGGUUUGGAUACAUACGUAGUCGUCGGAAGCGCUCUCAUUGACAUGUACUCCAAGUGUGGGCAAGUAAAGAAUGCCGAGUCAAUGUUUCAGUUAUUACCUAAGAGGAAUAUAAUAACAUGGAACGCAAUGAUCUCAGGCUAUGCUUACAAUGGUGAUUCAGGUAAGGUGAUCCAACAACUUCGGGAAUUGAAAAUGGUUGCAGAUUUGAAACCUGAUGGGGUCACCUUUCUUAAUGUAAUAGCUGCAUGCUCCAAUACCGAGGUGCCAUUGCAGCAGGCAAUUGGAUACUUUGAAUCAAUGAUCAACGAUUACGGGAUUGAACCAACCAUUGAGCACUGCUGUUCAAUGAUUCGGCUGAUGGGACAAAGAGGGGAGGUGUGGAAGGCAAAGAGUAUGAUAUAUGAACUAGCAUUUGGAUCAUGUGGGGCAGUUUGGAGGGCUUUGCUUGGUGCUUGUGGAGCUUGUAGGGAUUUGAAGGUCGCAAACAUUGCAGCAGCAAAAGUUAUUGAAUUGGAGGGUGAUGAUGAUUAUGUGUAUGUUAUGAUGUCUAACAUAUUUGCAUCCUAUGGCAAAUGGAGAGAUGUGAGCAAAGUGAGAAAGAUCAUGAGGGAUAGAGGGGUGAGAAAAGCAGUUGGCUGCAGUUGGAUUGAGGUGGAAAGGGCCGCUCCAUAGUCAUUCAUAUAUCUAUUUGGAAUUGGCGAAAGAAAGGCCUUUUUGAUGAAGAAUUUAUUGGUUGUCAUAAUAUGGUGGACAUUGUGAUGAGCAAAGAAAUUUCAUCCUGCUCAAUCUUCCCUUCCUGUCUCCACCAAUAAAGCAAAGUGGGAGCAAAGACUAUAAUUUGCUGGACCACUACCCCAAGUGGUUAUUUUAAACCGAACACGGAUGCUCAUUCAAAGUUCUACAGGUUCUGUUUAUGCUGGAGGUUUGAUCCGGGAUCAUCAAGGUGCUUGGCAUGGAGAUUUUUGCAUGAAUACUGCCUAAUAACCAAUGCUGAAUUUUGGGGUUUGUUUCAGGGUUUGUCUAUGGCCUGGAAUAAGAGGUUGCAUAAGAUAAUUGUUGAGGUGCACAAUCAAAGUGUUUGUCGGAUGGUGCUCAAUGAAGUUGAUGUUCCUGGGGGCUGUCACGAUCUGGUUUGCAGGAUAAGGGAGUUGAUUCAGCGUGAAUGGGAAGUGAAAGUUUACCAUAUUCACAGAAAGGACUACCUGAGUGCAGAUUGGCUGGCAGGGAUUGGUGAAAGGAGACCUAGAAGCUACUAUGGUCCAACCGCACCAGUGUAAAACUGUAUUUAAGUUGGAAGUCCUGUCUCGCAUAUACCCACUUAGCAGUUCCAAUAUGCACAUUCUGCUCUGUUGGAAAAUACGAUAAGUGCUUUUUUGCCUUGAGUUUACAUUAGUAGAAACUGCUUUUGGUACAAAGAUGGAAGACCAGGAUUAAGAAGAAAAAACUUACUGGUCUGAUGCCAUUUGGUUGUGAUGGUACAUGCAUAUUUCAGUGAACAAUGAAGUGAAAUUUUGGAGACUAAAUUCAUGGAACCUGAUAAACACCGCUGGACUUUCAGUUAUUAGACUCUGUUUCUAAAUGGAAGUAGGUCCCUCAGGUAUCGGAAAAUAGCAUGUAUUACUUCAGGGCAAAUUACAACAUCAAGUAUCAAAUUCCUUUUUGAAAGUAGGUCCUUCAGAAAUCUGAAAUUAGCUGGUAUCGCCUCAGAGCAUAUUACAAAAUAAAGAGGACGAAAUGUUGGGAACAACUGAGCAUAUAUUGGUCGCGCGAUAUUAUAUAUGAAUUGCAUUUAAUUGUUACAUCUCAGUAGAUGGGUCCUCCUAUGUUAUGAAGAAUCAAAUCAGCUUCAUUGGUUUAAAGGUUCAGCAGCAUUUAUAA
rnacentral:misc_RNA from 1 species